rnacentral:misc_RNA from 1 species
GAUGAAGAACGUAGCGAAAUGCGAUACGUAAUGUGAAUUGCAGAAUUCAGUGAAUCAUCGAGUCUUUGAACGCACAUUGCGCCCCCUGGUAUUCCGGGGGGCAUGCCUGUCCGAGCGUCAUUGCUGCCCUCAAGCACGGCUUGUGUGUUGGGCCUCCGUCCUCCUCCCGGGGGACGGGCCCGAAAGGCAGCGGCGGCACCGCGUCCGGUCCUCGAGCGUAUGGGGCUUCGUCACCCGCUCUAGUAGGCCCGGCCGGCGCUUGCCGACACAUCAAUCUUUUUUCCAGGUUGACCUCGGAUCAGGUAGGGAUACCCGCUGAACUUAAGCAUAUCAAUAAGCGGAGGA